CCUACGGGCGGCAGCAGUGGGGAAUAUUGCACAAUGGGCGCAACCCUGAUCCAGCAACGCCGCGUGAAGGAAGAAGUCUUUCGGUUUGUAAAGCUCUUUCCUCAGGGACGAAGAAGGUGGUGGUACCUCAGGAAUCCCCGACUGCUAACUACGUGCCAGCAGCGGCGGUAAGACGUAGGGGGCAAGCGUUAUCCGGAUUUAUUGGGUGGAAAGGGAGUGAAGGCGGGACAGCAAGGCAGAGGUGAACUGCCAGGGCUCAACCCUGGACCUGCAUUUGAAACUGUUCUGCUUGAGUGCUGGAGAGGGAAGUGGAAUUCCGGGUGUAGCGGUGAAAUGCGUAGAUAUAAGGAGGAACACCAGUGGCGAAGGCGGCUUGCUGGACAGUAACUGACGCUGAGGCGCGAAAGCGUGGGGAGCAAACAGGAUUAGAUACCCGGGUAGUC
rnacentral:rRNA from 1 species